GAGUUUGAUCAUGGCUCACAACGAACGCUGGCGGCAGGCCUAACACAUGCAAGUCGAACGAUAUAGUGGCGGACGGGUGAGUAACGCGUGGGAACAUACCUUUCGGUGCGGAAUAGCCCAUGGAAACGUGGAUUAAUACCGCAUGCGCCCUUUGGGGGAAAGAUUUAUCGCCGAGAGAUUGGCCCGCGUCUGAUUAGGUAGUUGGUGGGGUAAUGGCCUACCAAGCCGACGAUCAGUAGCUGGUUUGAGAGGAUGAUCAGCCACACUGGGACUGAGACACGGCCCAGACUCCUACGGGAGGCAGCAGUGGGGAAUCUUAGACAAUGGACGCAAGUCUGAUCUAGCCAUGCCGCGUGAGCGAUGAAGGCCUUAGGGUUGUAAAGCUCUUUCACCGGUGACGAUAAUGACGGUAGCCGGAGAAGAAGCCCCGGCUAACUCCGUGCCAGCAGCCGCGGUAAUACGGAGGGGGCUAGCGUUGUUCGGAAUUACU
rnacentral:rRNA from 1 species